GUGGGGAAUUUUGGACAAUGGGCGAAAGCCUGAUCCAGCCAUGCCGCGUGCAGGAUGAAGGCCUUCGGGUUGUAAACUGCUUUUGUACGGAACGAAAAGACUCUGGUUAAUACCUGGGGUCCAUGACGGUACCGUAAGAAUAAGCACCGGCUAACUACGUGCCAGCAGCCGCGGUAAUACGUAGGGUGCAAGCGUUAAUCGGAAUUACUGGGCGUAAAGCGUGCGCAGGCGGUUUUGUAAGAUCGAUGUGAAAUCCCCGGGCUCAACCUGGGAACUGCAUUGGUGACUGCAAGGCUGGAGUGCGGCAGAGGGGGAUGGAAUUCCGCGUGUAGCAGUGAAAUGCGUAGAUAUGCGGAGGAACACCGAUGGCGAAGGCAAUCCCCUGGGCCUGCACUGACGCUCAUGCACGAAAGCGUGGGGAGCAAACAGGAUUAGAUACCCGAGUAGUCC
rnacentral:rRNA from 1 species